rnacentral:rRNA from 1 species
GAUGAACGCUAGCGGCAAGCCUAAUACAUGCAAGUCGAACGGUGUCUUCGGACAUAGUGGCGCACGGGUGCGUAACACGUAUGCAACCUACCCUACAUUGGGGGAUAGCCUUUCGAAAGGGAGAUUAAUACCGCAUAAGACAGUAGCUGGGCAUCCAGCAGCUGUUAAAGAUUUAUCGAUGUAAGCUGGGCAUGCGUCCAAUUAGCUAGUUGGUGAGGUAACGGCUCACCAAGGCAAUGAUUGGUAGGGGAACUGAGAGGUCAAUCCCCCACACUGGCGCUGAGAUACGGGCCAGAAUCCUACGGGAGGCAGCAGUAGGGAAUAUUGGGCAAUGGACGCAAGUCUGACCCAGCCAUGCCCCGUGCAGGAUGAAGGCGUUAUGCGUUGUAAACUGCUUUUAUACAGGAAGAAACGACUCUUGCGAGAGGCAUUGACGGUACUGUAUGAAUAAGCACCGGCUAACUCCGUGCCAGCCGCCGCGGUAACAC